AGCGAGCGCUGGCGGCAGGCCUAACACAUGCAAGUCGAACGGACCCUUCGGGGUUAGUGGCGGACGGGUGAGUAACACGUGGGAACGUGCCUUUAGGUUCGGAAUAGCUCCUGGAAACGGGUGGUAAUGCCGAAUGUGCCCUUCGGGGGAAAGAUUUAUCGCCUUUAGAGCGGCCCGCGUCUGAUUAGCUAGUUGGUGGGGUAAUGGCCCACCAAGGCUACGAUCAGUAGCUGGUCUGAGAGGAUGACCAGCCACAUUGGGACUGAGACACGGCCCAAACUCCUACNNNNGGCAGCAGUGGGGAAUCUUGCGCAAUGGGCGAAAGCCUGACGCAGCCAUGCCGCGUGUAUGAUGAAGGUCUUAGGAUUGUAAAAUACUUUCACCGGNGAAGAUAAUGACUGUAGCCGGAGAAGAAGCCCCGGCUAACCUCGUGCCAGCAGCCGCGGUAAGA
rnacentral:rRNA from 1 species